UCUCUCCUGUGCCUGCUACCCUCCUCCCAAGCCCACCUCAAGCAGUGUUACUGAAUUGUUCAUGAGCGCCACCACCAAGGUGCUGACGGUCACUCUGUAUCCUCCUAGUUGAGAUGAAACGGCAACUACGGCGACUACGGGAGCUCCACCUAUACAGCACAUGGAAGAAGUACCAAGAGGCGAUGAAGACAUCCUUGGGAGUUCCACAAUGUGAGCGUGACGAAGGCUCCUUGGGCAAGCCAUUGUGUCCACCCGAGAUACUCUCGGAGACGUUGCCAGGCUCUGUGAAGAAAAGGGUAUGCUUUCCAUCAGAAGAUCAUCUAGAGGAGUUUAUAGCAGAACAUCUCCCUGAAGCAUCCAAUCAGAGUCUCCUCACUGUUGCCCAUGUGACCUGGAAGACCUGGAGGAGCAUGGGCCAGGGCAGACAGUCUCUGAGGAAGCCACAGAAGUUCACAUGGUAAAGUCGUCUUCUUUCCUCUGAAAAGGAAAUUUUAUUUCUCUCGGUUUCUCUGUUUCAAUUGAAUUAAGAUGUAUACAUCUCACCAUGUACACUAUAGGUGACUGACAGAAUUUCUUGGUGGGCAAAUGUCAGCGUUCAUUAUCAACUAAAGAGUGGUUUCAGAUGGCAUCCACAUUUACAAACUGUGUGUCAGCAGGCAUUUACCUUAAGAGAAAUGUCUUCUUGAGAAAAAUUUGGAAUUGUCAAACAAAAACAAUUGAAAAUCUUGCACAAAAAUCUUGUGCCUUUCCACGAAUGUCUUCUAGAUAUCGGGGCCAUUGUCUCAAGUACUAUUUACCAUCUGUUUUUUUAACAUAAACAAGUGAAGAGAAGACCUGUGCACACAGGACACAGCCUGGUCUGAACCUCAUAGUGUUUUGUUUUUCUCUAGAUGGAGGGGGACCCAGACACACUGGCCGAACGUACGUAUUCUGGGAUCAUCUCUUUGUUUAGGUUCAAAAUAUUAGAGUUGCAAAGAUGGCACUGUUUUGCCUGCCUUUGUUCAAGAGCCACUCUGGUUUGAGCUGUCUGCCAGAAAUGAGAUUUGGGAAGUUUGGUUUAAAAGAAUGCUAAGAUCCAGUAAACCACUCUAACCAUGCUACUGUCAUCCCUGGAAGCAGCAGUGUCAUCUAAGGUGGGGUGGUACAUCAGGGAUGGGAGGGACAGAGGAGAGAGUCUGUAUGGAAUGAUUGUGGAUGUCUUUGGGAGUGUGUGUGCAUUUCCCCAGAAAACACACUCCCAUCUGCAAAGCACAACAUGAGGAUCAAUGUUCAAGAAAAAUUCCAUCACCACUGCACAGUUUGCAUAAAUCAACCCAUUCAUCCUCCACCACAGCUGUACCUGAAGAUAAGUUUAAUAUCCGCAGUCCUCAGAUGGACAUGCUGCAGAGUUGAAUUUCCCAAGCUCUUGGUCUUUUAAAUGGAAGAGGCACAUGUGAACUCAGGGAUGAGUGGAAGGUUAAUGCCAUGAGCUAGUACACUGAAUUUGUCACAAAGCCCUGGUAUAAUUUCUUGCUAGGCCAAGUUAUUCCAGCACUUCUGUG
rnacentral:lncRNA from 1 species